GACGAACGCUGGCGGCGUGCUUAACACAUGCAAGUCUGGGGGCGGGGCGACCCGUCCCCGGCGAACGUGUGCGGAACACGUGAGCGACCUGCCCUGUGUGUGGGGGAUAGCCGGCCCAACGGCCUGUUAAUACCGCAUACGUCCCGCGCUUGGAGGCGCUGGGAGAAAGCCCGGAAGGGCGCACGAGGAGGGGCUCGCGGCCUAUCAGCUAGUUGGGGGGGUAACGGCCCACCAAGGCGACGACGGGUAGCUGGUCUGAGAGGAUGGCCAGCCACAUUGGGACGGAGAGAAGGCCCAGAGUAGGACGGGAGGCAGAAGUGGGGAAACUUGCGGAAGGGGGGAAAGACGGAAGCAGAGACGGAGAGGGGAGGAUGAGGACCUUAGGGGUGUAAAAUCGUGUGGAACGGGACGAACGGCGGGAAGCGGACCGAUUGACGGUACCGGGUGAGGAAGCACCGGCUAACUCUGUG
rnacentral:rRNA from 1 species